AUUGAACGCUGGCGGCAGGCCUAACACAUGCAAGUCGAGCGAUCGGCGGACGGGUGAGUACUGUCUGUGAAACUGCCUGAUGGCGGGGGAUAACUACUGGAAACGGUAGCUAAUACCGCAUACCAUCAGAUGUGCCCCGAUGGGAUUAGCUAGUAGGUGGGGUAACGGCUCACCUAGGCGACGAUCCCUAGCUGGUUUGAGAGGAUGACCAGCCACAGUGGAACUGGGACACGACCCAGACUCCUACGGGAGGAAGCAUGGGGGAAUAUUGGACAAUGGGCGCAAGCCUGAUGAAGCCAUGCGGCGUGUGUGAAGAAGGCUUUCGGGUUGUAAAGCACUUUCAGCGGGGAGGCGUUACCCGCAGAAGAAGCACCGGCUAACUCCGUGCCAGCAGCCGCGGUAAUAC
rnacentral:rRNA from 1 species